rnacentral:rRNA from 1 species
UAUUGCGCAAUGGGCGAAAGCCUGACGCAGCGACGCCGCGUGGGGGAUGAAGGUCUUCGGAUUGUAAACCCCUUUCGGGAGGGAAGAUGGAAUGGGGUAACCCAUUCGGACGGUACCUCCAGAAGCAGCCACGGCUAACUUCGUGCCAGCAGCCGCGGUAAUACGAAGGUGGCAAGCGUUAUUCGGAUUUACUGGGCGUACAGGGAGCGUAGGCGGUUUGGUAAGCCCUCUGUGAAAUCUCCAGGCUUAACCUGGAAAAGUCGGAGGGGACUGCUGGGCUAGAGGACGGGAGAGGAGCGCGGAAUUCCCGGUGUAGCGGUGAAAUGCGUAGAGAUCCGGAGGAAGGCCGGUGGCGAAGGGGGCGCUCUGGAACGUUUUCUGACGCUGAGGCCGA